rnacentral:snoRNA from 13 species
ACCAACUGAUGAAAGACACAAACUUCAUUUGGGAUUGCGCAAUUGGCAACAAUUGGCGCACGCAUGACCAUAGACUAAUCUUCUCGCUGAUGGC